CCUACGGGGGGCAGCAGUGGGGAAUAUUGGACAAUGGGGGGAACCCUGAUCCAGCCAUGCCGCGUGUGUGAAGAAGGCCCUCGGGUUGUAAAGCACUUUCAGUGAGGAAGAACGCCUGGUGGUUAAUACCCAUCAGGAAAGACAUCACUCACAGAAGAAGCACCGGCUAACUCCGUGCCAGCAGCCGCGGUAAUACGGAGGGUGCGAGCGUUAAUCGGAAUUACUGGGCGUAAAGCGCGCGUAGGUGGCUUGAUAAGCCGGUUGUGAAAGCCCCGGGCUCAACCUGGGAACGGCAUCCGGAACUGUCAAGCUAGAGUGCAGGAGAGGAAGGUAGAAUUCCCGGUGUAGCGGUGAAAUGCGUAGAGAUCGGGAGGAAUACCAGUGGCGAAGGCGGCCUUCUGGACUGACACUGACACUGAGGUGCGAAGGCGUGGGUAGCAAACAGGAUUAGAUACCCCAGUAGUC
rnacentral:rRNA from 1 species